AAGGGCUUAGCUUAAUUAAAGUAACUGAUUUGCGUUCGGUUGAUGCAGAGUGUAGUUCUGUAGUCCUUG
rnacentral:tRNA from 3 species